ACGGGAGGCAGCAGUGGGGAAUAUUGGGCAAUGGGGGAAACCCUGACCCAGCAACGCCGCGUGGAGGAAGAAGGUCUUCGGAUCGUAAACUCCUGUCCUAAGGGACGAGCAGAAGACGGUACCUUAGGAGGAAGCCCCGGCUAACUACGUGCCAGCAGCCGCGGUAAUACGUAGGGGGCGAGCGUUGUCCGGAAUGAUUGGGCGUAAAGGGCGCGUAGGCGGCCCGGUAAGUCUGAAGUGAAAGUCCUGCUUUUAAGGUGGGAAUUGCUUUGGAUACUGUCGGGCUUGAGUGCAGGAGAGGUUAGUGGAAUUCCCAGUGUAGCGGUGAAAUGCGUAGAGAUUGGGAGGAACACCAGUGGCGAAGGCGACUAACUGGACUGUAACUGACGCUGAGGCGCGAAAGUGUGGGGAGCAAACAGGAUUAGAUACCCUGGUA
rnacentral:rRNA from 1 species